rnacentral:pre_miRNA from 2 species
UCUUAUGGAUGAGCAAAGAAAGUGGUUUCUUGAGUUGAAAUCUACUCCUGUGAAGAAGCUGUGAA